rnacentral:rRNA from 1 species
GACGAACGCUGGCGGCGUGCCUAAUACAUGCAAGUAGAACGCUGAAGGAGGAGCUUGCUUCUCUGGAUGAGUUGCGAACGGGUGAGUAACGCGUAGGUAACCAGCCUGGUAGCGGGGGAUAACUAUUGGAAACGAUAGCUAAUACCGCAUAAGAGUAGAUGUCGCAUGACAUUUGCUUAAAAGGUGCAAUUGCAUCACUACCAGAUGGACCUGCGUUGUAUUAGCUAGUUGGUGAGGUAACGGCUCACCAAGGCAACGAUACAUAGCCGACCUGAGAGGGUGAUCGGCCACACUGGGACUGAGACACGGCCCAGACUCCUACGGGAGGCAGCAGUAGGGAAUCUUCGGCAAUGGACGGAAGUCUGACCGAGCAACGCCGCGUGAGUGAAGAAGGUUUUCGGAUCGUAAAGCUCUGUUGUAAGAGAAGAACGAGUGUGAGAGUGGAAAGUUCACACUGUGACGGUAUCUUACCAGAAAGGGACGGCUAACUACGUG